rnacentral:rRNA from 1 species
UACGGAGGGGGCUAGCGUUGUUCGGAAUUACUGGGCGUAAAGCGCACGUAGGCGGCUUUGUAAGUUAGAGGUGAAAGCCCAGAGCUCAACUCUGGAAUUGCCUUUGAGACUGAGUGGCUUGAGUACGAGAGAGGUGAGUGGAAUUCCCAGUGUAGAGGUGAAAUUCGUAGAUAUUGGGAAGAACACCGGUGGCGAAGGCGGCUCACUGGCUCGUAACUGACGCUCAUGCACGACAGCGUGGGGAUCAAACAGG